rnacentral:tRNA from 1 species
GGAGAUAUAGUUUAAACGGAUAAAAUACACCCCUGUCACGGGUAUGUUCCGGGUUCGAUGCCCGGUAUCUCCG